CCUGACGCAGCGACGCCGCGUGAGGGAUGACGGCCUUCGGGUUGUAAACCUCUUUCAGUAGGGACGAAGCGCAAGUGACGGUACCUACAGAAGAAGCACCGGCCAACUACGUGCCAGCAGCCGCGGUAAUACGUAGGGUGCAAGCGUUGUCCGGAAUUAUUGGGCGUAAAGAGCUCGUAGGCGGUCUGUCGCGUCGGCUGUGAAAACCCGAGGCUCAACCUCGGGCCUGCAGUCGAUACGGGCAAACUAGAGUACUGCAGGGGAGACUGGAAUUCCUGGUGUAGCGGUGAAAUGCGCAGAUAUCAGGAGGAACACCGGUGGCGAAGGCGGGUCUCUGGGCAGUAACUGACGCUGAGGAGCGAAAGCGUGGGGAGCGAACAGGAUUAGAUACCCUGGUAGUCCACGCCGUAAACGUUGGGCGCUAGAUGUGGGGCUCAUUCCACGAGUUCCGUGUCGCAGCUAACGCAUUAAGCGCCCCGCCUGGGGAGUACGGCCGCAAGGCUAAAACUCAAAGGAAUUGACGGGGGCCCGCACAAGCGGCGGAGCAUGUUGCUUAAUUCGAUGCAACGCGAAGAACCUUACCUAGGCUUGACAUGCACGGAAAUCUCCCAGAGAUGGGAGGUCCUUUAAAGG
rnacentral:rRNA from 1 species